rnacentral:rRNA from 1 species
UACGAAGGGUGCAAACGUUGCUCGGAAUUAUUGGGCGUAAAGCGCACGUAGGCGGCUCUGUAAGUUGGAUGUGAAAUCCCUCGGCUCAACCAGGGAAGUGCAUCCAAAACUGUAGAGCUUGAGUACUAAAGAGGAUCGCGGAAUUCCCGGUGUAGAGGUGAAAUUCGUAGAUAUCGGGAGGAACACCAGUGGCGAAGGCGGCGAUCUGGGUAGAUACUGACGCUGAGGUGCGAAAGCGUGGGGAGCAAACAGG